GUGGGGAAUCUUGCGCAAUGGGCGAAAGCCUGACGCAGCCAUGCCGCGUGAAUGAUGAAGGUCUUAGGAUUGUAAAAUUCUUUCACCGGGGACGAUAAUGACGGUACCCGGAGAAGAAGCCCCGGCUAACUUCGUGCCGGCAGCCGCGGUAAUACGAAGGGGGCUAGCGUUGCUCGGAAUUACUGGGCGUAAAGGGCGCGUAGGCGGACAGUUUAGUCAGAGGUGAAAGCCCAGGGCUCAACCUUGGAAUUGCCUUUGAUACUGGCUGUCUUGAGUACGGGAGAGGUGAGUGGAACUCCGAGUGUAGAGGUGAAAUUCGGAGAUAUUCGGAAGAACACCAGUGGCGAAGGCGACUCACUGGCCCGUUACUGACGCUGAGGCGCGAAAGCGUGGGGAGCAAACAGGAUUAGAUACCCUAGUAGUCC
rnacentral:rRNA from 1 species